rnacentral:rRNA from 1 species
UCUCACAAAUACGUCAUUGACGCUGAGGCACGAAAGUGCGGGGAUCAAACAGGAUUAGAUACCCUGGUAGUCCGCACAGUAAACGAUGAUAACUCGCUGUUGGCCUGCAAAGGUCAGUGGCCAAGCGAAAGCGAUAAGUUAUCCACCUGGGGAGUACGACCGCAAGGUUGAAACUCAAAGGAAUUGACGGGGGCCCGCACAAGCGGAGGAACAUGUGGUUUAAUUCGAUGAUACGCGAGGAACCUUACCCGGGCUCGAACGGUGCAUGAAGGACCCAGAGAUGGGAACGCUCUUUGGAGCAUGUAUCGAGGUGCUGCAUGGUUGUCGUCAGCUCGUGCCGUGAGGUGUCGGCUUAAGUGCCAUAACGAGCGCAACCCUUGUUGUCAGUUACCAGCGCGUAAAGGCGGGGACUCUGGCGAGACUGCCACCGUAAGGUGAGAGGAGGGGGGGGAUGACGUCAAAUCAGCACGGCCCUUACGUCCGGGGCGACACACGUGUUACAAUGGCCGGUACAGAGGGGAGCUAGCUGGUGACAGUGUGCAAAUCUCGAAAGCCGGUCUCAGUUCGGAUCGGAGUCUGCAACUCGACUCCGUGAAGUUGG